CAUAAUUGAAGCAUAUUGAAAUUAAACAAUGAAUCAUUAUUUUUGUGCGUCUACGCACUGGGAAUCUAUAUAAAGUGCACUUAUAUUGAUCACUUAUAUUAAUCAUUUGUAUUAAUCAUUUAUUUGAAUAAACAAAUCAGGUAUCUCCUAUAAUCAAUCUGUUACCUUGUAUCUUAUCACAUUUUGGUAACAUUAAUUACAAUUACUAUAUGAUUUUUAUCAUGUAAUCUUUAUGUCAUGCAAUUAUCAGAAGUAUGUCAGUAUUUUCUGUAGUAUAGGUAUCCUCAUGACUAGCAGUAUAUAACUGUAUCAUUAUAUAUCACAUGUGAUCAUUAUUAUUUACUAUUAUAUCAUAUGCAUAUGUCUUAUACCUUAUACGUGCAUCUGUAUUUGUGUACUCCAUGUAUUUUUUUUUUUACUUAUAAGUAUUUUCUAUAUCAGAUUUUUACAUAUAACCAGUUGUAUAUCAUUUUCUUAAACACUUUGAUGGUGGUAAUGUGUUUAUCACAUCUUUGCAUUUAUAUUUUUUAAAAAUCACACUGUUACAAGUCAAAUCCAAGUCAAACUUUCUGCAUACCUAUAAUCUAAUGUUUGAUUUUAUAUAGUGGACCAAGCAUUAUGUAAGUGAUUACACAUAAAAACGAAUGUAUUGUGACAUUCUAUAAGUUGCAACAUGUUGUUGAAUUAAUAUAUCAUAACUCCAGUGUUCCUGUAGGAUCUUGCAGUAUUGGAAAACAUAAGUUAGUGAAUAGCUGACAUUGCCUUGACGUUGCUCUGACUACGCUUUGUAUACCAUCUUAGUUUGUAUACACCUGGAUCAUCAGUUUCAAUUUUAAAAAGGUAACCCCAACCGAUGCCCCACUGGCAAAAUACAUGUUGUCGUUCCCAUUACAGUCUGUGCCUAUGUGACAGACCUAGAUUCGUACGUUCAUUUGUGCUUAUAACAUUUGAGCAAUGUAUUGCUCACCUAUGAUCUUGUAAACCAAAUUGUAUAUCAGAUUUCUAUCACACCUCUCCGCUGGAAGAGCUAUCCAAAUCUUCCUGUAGAUAUCAUUGUGAUGUAAGCUUGUUAAAUGUAACUUGUUAUUUACAACUGACACUUGCUGAUAUCAUCACAGUUCAAACAAUUGCAAGGCGACUCCCUUAUACGUAUUUGCCCAGUGCAAAUGGUUUAGCUGUGAGGACUGUUAUAACGAUGACUGAAAUUUUGCGAAUGAUGAGUAAAUGCGGCAAUGACUGAUAUGUAUGUAGGAUGUGCAGUGUGCAUCUAUAACGCCACACUGCAGAAGAGUAUAGGUAUGUCUCCAUGUAAAUAUGUGUUAAAUUUUGAAAGGAUUAAUAGGUCUGUCAGAGAGUGAUUGGGAUUUGUGGAAGAAAGCGAAUGAAAGGUUUGAAAGUUUUAAGAUUGGUGAUAGAGUGUUGAAAGAGGUGGUUGAGAUAGGAAGAAUAAAUUUGAAUAAGGUAAGGGAGAAAUCUGAAGGGCCUUUUGAGAUUUUGGAAGCGGGACCAAGUGGAUUGAGUUAUGUUUUGGGGAAAUUGCGAGUAGGUGGAGGGAUAGAUGAAGGUACAGUGCACCAUAAAUGGAGGGACAUGCCACAACAUGUUCGGGAGAAUGUGAUGAGUGAAUGGUUAAGGGUGAAUAAGUAUGAGCCGAGUGUUGGUGAACAAAUUGGUCUGGGAGAUCAACAAUUUAGUGUUGGUUGAGUAUGGAAGAGAGCAGAAGAAUGUACAGUAAGGGAAUGGAAGGAUAGAAGUGUGAAUGGCAAGAUAAGGGUGUUAGUAUUAGGGUGCAAACGGUUGAUAAAGAGUGUAAUACGGAUGACUUUGAAGGAAUGAAUGUUACUUAUAGUGUAUGUGGGUUUGAAUUAAAAGGGAUAAGUGAGACUUCAGUGGGAAGGAAACCGAGUAGUAAGGAGGAAGUUGAUAGUAUGGAUAAAUCUUUGCAAAAGCUUGACAGAAGUUUGGAUGAACUGAGUGGUUUGGUAGCAGAAAUAAGGGAGAUAUUGGGACCAGAGCUCGAAGAUGUUGAUGAAGUAGUGAAUGAGAUUUGGGAGGAUAGUAGUGAGGGAGAUAAUGGGAAUUAGAAUGAAAGUGGUUUAGAAGAAGUGAAUGGCGAUGUAACUGAGAUAGUGUAUGAGGGUCCUCAAACAAGAUCCAAGGGGGCCUGCAUCCAUGCGUCUUUUGGGUGUUGCGGAAAGCAAUUUAGUGUGGGUGUUGUGAUGAGACGUUGUCAAAUGUAACGGGGAGGUAAUAUGGAGGAGUGAUAAUGGUAGUUACAUUUGACAGCAUCUUCGAGGGUUGCGUGAGAGAGAGAGAGAGAGAGAGAAAGUGUGUCGUUGUUGGGUUGAGAGUUGAAAUGUUUUCUUAUGUUUGAUAUGUCAUGUUUCAGGUUUAUGAAGUGAGUGAGCGAGCGAUCAAGAGAGAGGAGUGGUUUGAUGGUGGGUGUAAGCAUCUGUUGGAGCAGUCGCUGAAGGAGUCUAUGGCGAGAGUCUUGUUACAGAGAGUCAUAAGGAGUCAGUAAGUCGGAAAAGAUGGUCAGUCAGAAGUAGCCAGUUGUAUUGGGUGUUUUCUUGAUUGAUAUUGAUAUUGUAUGGUUGUUGUGCAUGUGUCUGUCUGGUGAUAGUUGAGCUGAAGAGGUUUGUUGUACUUGAUUUUGCAUUUUGAUGGUUGUGUGAGUUGUCUGUUGGAGACAGUGUUGGUGGUUGUGGUUUGUUGUGCUGGUUUGAGUUGUCGUAUGAUUUGUCGUAUUGUUUUUGAGUUGUUGGUAUUUGUUUGCGUAGUGAUUGGGGCAUUGUUUCUUGAGUUGUUGUAUGGUUUUGUUGCUUGUCUGUCAUGGGUAGUGAAAUUCAGCGGUUGUUGUGUCUCGACGACUUUAUCCAGUGGACGGCACAGUGUCUAGCACUGAGUAUCUCGAGUGUAAGGUGAGUACAUGUGUUUGUGUUUUGUGUGUUCUGUAUUUUGGCAAACCAAUUGUUAUGUGUGUAGUUAGUAACAUGAAGAGGAAAGUGUGGCAGAGGGGAAAGUUUGUCAGUCGGAACGGUCAAAGUGGGGGAGAUCUUGUUGCUUCAUUUGUGAUCACCCACAAUGUUAACUAAACCUCCAAUCCUUAAGAUUCCUGAUCCUAAUAGAAUUUUUUGUUUAAGGACCUAUGCAUCUUCUACUGGACUGGGAGUUGUUCUUUUCCGUAGGUACUAUGAUGGUUACCAGGAUGAGGAUAUGCAAGAUUUGAAUGGAUUGGAAACAACACUGGGUCAUGAGAAAGACGGUGCUUACACUGUGUGAAUUUCCUGUGAGCGGGGGAUUUUUGGAUAAUUUGAGUUGUAGCAUAGCAGAAAGAAAUGAGGGUAUGGAAGACAUGAUAAAAGCCAUGUCACGUACUAGUGAGAUUGGAGCGGACAUAAAUCUCCAGAGUUUGAAUAAGGGUGGUGUGAAUGGUUCGGAACCAAGACAGGGUGAGUCUAGUGCGAUUGGAGUAGAAGUGAAUGUGAGGCCAUGGACCCAAAGUUAAGGUCCAGUUCCAGAGUAUGAAUGGUUGUUGAGAAGGAGAUUUAAAAAAAGAAAAGGAAAUGAAAUUUUGUUUAUUUUAGUAAGGGGGAGUGUGGUGGUAGUAUGGAAAAUUGGAUUUGUGAGAAGAAGUAGUGUUUUUGGAACCAUUAUGUUGUUCAUAUGUGUUUUUUAAUUUUUUUUAUUAUAUUUGUGUGUUUUAACGACUGUGUUUUGCUAGCGAGUAUGUGAUUAUCUAAUUUUUUUUUUUUUACUUUCAGUUUGCUUGAGUGUGUAAGGAUAGUGAUUGGGCUCCCCUUCACCUGAACUGUGAGAGGCUACAUCUGUGAUAGGAGAUUUACUUUGGCAACUAACUACCAAAGCAAUCAAACAGUUAGUGAGACCAAACACAUUUUCAAGUUCCACAGUGUGAAGUUUUUACAUAUAUGUCAGUUACUUAAGACAGUAUCUGUCCCAAAUGGGAGGGGGUUCGAGAAAUUCCUUUAAUAUCUGUAUGUUGAUUUUGUCGCAAAUGAGAUCUCAGAUUCUCGUUUGUAAUGAUUGAAGGGCCUUUGUGUAGAAAAGACUGCAUGAAGAGAUUCCAAAGUAAUUUCUGCCCUUAGCUUGCAUGCCAUAGCUGAACCAAAUUCCUUUGGUGUUUGCCCAGAUGAUGUGUCGACUUUUAUGAUGACCUUUUGAUUAUUCUGAUAUGAAGUGCUUUUCUAGGAAAAUGGUUGAUUCUGAUCUAAGAUUUUGUAUUAGUUGUUCGUUCCCACACGGUAUACAAACCAUCAUUCCUUUACAUUAGGAAUAUACUUAUGGCAAAGCUGGAUCACGGCUGCUAAGACUCGUGAACAAGGUGGUUAAGCAGUACCUACUCUCUGGUAGGGAGGGAGACCCGACUGCCUGGAUGUAAACAUUCCACUUUGCUUUUGGCCGUCAUGCAAUGCAGACAUGUUUUCAUGAGCUCUUUCCUGACUGUCGUUAAACUUGCUUUUCCUGGUGAUCUUUUAUUUUAUUAUUUCUAUACUAUAUUGAAUAAAGGCAGCCCCUGGUAAUUGGUUGGAGUUCUGUUCGGACGGCCUGAUGAUAAGCGAAAAUCGCCAAUAACCGAAAAUUGUUAAUAAUCAAAAAUCUGCAAUUCAUGACACUUAUGGUGCCAAUAACUGUUUAAUGGCGCCUCUGAUAGGUAUGUAUCAAUGCCAUAAAUAUUAUUGCCGCCGAUAACCAGAAAUCGGCACAUUAUGGACCUAAUUUUUGGCUCUAGACAAGCCCGAUAAAACCAGAUCACCGAUAACUGGAGACUGUUUGUACUAUGUUUGAUAUUUACUAAUAUACUAACCCAUGAUUUGUGAUAGCCUUGCAAUCCGCCUUCCCCCAGCAUGUGUGUCUUGGAUCUGGUAUCCAAGGGCAUAUUAUUUGGUCCCUAUCACAUUUUCACGCCCUUUGCUUUUAAGGGCAUGACGGUAUAUAUUUGUUAUAAUUAUUUUUGAGAUGGUAUUGCUGCUUGCUGUGUUGGAGAGUUUGCCAGGAGAUAAACUUUGGAGCUAAACUAUGGAACUUUCACCCUCAGUUUUUCUUGCAUGGUAUUCUUUCCUUAUGGCAUUUUCUUCUUUUGGAGGGAUAUCUCCUUUGCUCUCUUCACUUGCUUGUCAGGCAAGGAGAGGGGUUGGUCUUGGCAAUUGGGUGAUUUAAUCUCAGGGGACUCCUCUUGCUUCAUAGGGUAGUGCCCUUCGGAACGAGAGGAGUCUCCUUUUAAUAAUUUUCUUUUUUCUUCAGGUUGAUUGUAAGUAGUCGUAGAUGGUUAGAUAUCUCACAGUGUUGAUUAUCCUAACCUUCAUGAGUGUACCUGUGACACUCUGGUGUGCUGUGGCACUGCUUCUUGUGUGUAUCUAGUUCCCCUGCUGUGCAUUCUGUUAGAUUGUUACUGUUGCCCUGACAACCAGUCACUGCUCAGGCUCCAUUUGAACUAUUAUGUCGAUCGUCAGACAGGGAAUUGACUUUGAAAACAGUUUUCCUCCUGGCCUUGGCUUUCAUUAUUAUAGCUUGAAAUGCACCAGGAGUUUGGGCUCCAUAGUCUUCAACUUUGUCCCAGAAUUUGUGCCUAAGGUUCAAAAUCUUUCUGUUUCUAAUGAAAAAUUUGCCUCUUUUUCUAUUCCUUCCCUGAAGGAAUUUGUCGACAAAGAACCUGAAGAGUUAUUGCUUUGUCUCAUCAGAGCACUGCGUUGCUAUCUAGAAAGGAUUCAUCACCUAACACCUUGUUGUCAUAGACUUUUCGUUAGCACAAGCCGAGCCAAGAAGGAAGUGUCCAAGAACUCCAUUUCUUUGUUUGGUUUUGUGAGGUAAUUAGAGAAGCCUACUAAUCACUUUCAUGUUCUGUCACAAAUAAUGUACUGUGCAUGCAAGAGUACAUGACAUCAGAGGAAUAAGUUCCUCUCUGUCCUUUAAGAAGAAUUUGUCUGUUAGUAGGAUUUUGAAUGCUGGUUCCUGGGUUCAGCAGACUAUUUUCACUUCCUUUUACCUGAAGGGUAUUGCCCACAGGUCCUUGGACGCUUUUUCCUUUAGUCUGGUGGUGGCUGCCCAAUAAGUUGGGACUUUUUGUAUCAUGCCUAAGAUGAUUUUUUCCAUUCUCCAUUCCUACAGACAAUUGAAGAUUAGAUACAUCAUACACUGGAACUGGCUUGAUGCAGUGCAAGCUGGAGCUGGCCAUUUAAGUAAAAUCAAAGUGGAUAUUGGUAAUUGGCUACCAAUGGUCAGGGAGGAAUCCUGGCCAUGCAGUUGAUACACAUUCACUUUUCCUUUUGACCUCGUCUGAGACAGACAUGAAUGUCUGCUAUAUCUCUAGGUAUUUUUUUUCAAGAAACCAAACUUAUUAGCUUUGUGGCAGCAAGCUAAAGGUAAGAGGGUACACAUUAACAUUUUUCUGUGUUAAUGCUGCAAUUUACUUUUAUGACCAACUUUUUUUGCAUGGCUAAUAUUAGUUUACUUUGAUA